rnacentral:rRNA from 1 species
UACAGAGGUCCCAAGCGUUGUUCGGAUUCAUUGGGCGUAAAGGGUGCGUAGGCGGCGCAGUAAGUCGGGUGUGAAAUCUCGGAGCUUAACUCCGAAACUGCAUUCGAUACUGCCGUGCUUGAGGACUGGAGAGGAGACUGGAAUUUACGGUGUAGCGGUGAAAUGCGUAGAUAUCGUAAGGAAGACCAGUGGCGAAGGCGGGUCGUCUGGACAGUAACUGACACUGAGGAGCGAAAGCGUGGGGAGCGAACAGG